rnacentral:rRNA from 1 species
ACGGGUGAGUAACGCGUGGGAAUCUACCCAUCUCUAUGGAAUAACUCAGGGAAACUUGUGCUAAUACCGUAUACGCCCUUCGGGGGAAAGAUUUAUCGGAGAUGGAUGAGCCCGCGUUGGAUUAGCUAGUUGGUGGGGUAAUGGCCUACCAAGGCGACGAUCCAUAGCUGGUCUGAGAGGAUGAUCAGCCACACUGGGACUGAGACACGGCCCAGACUCCUACGGGAGGCAGCAGUGGGGAAUAUUGGACAAUGGGCGCAAGCCUGAUCCAGCCAUGCCGCGUGAGUGAUGAAGGCCCUAGGGUUGUAAAGCUCUUUCAACGGUGAAGAUAAUGACGGUAACCGUAGAAGAAGCCCCGGCUAACUUCGUGCCAGCAGCCGCGGUAAUACGAAGGGGGCUAGCGUUGUUCGGAUUUACUGGGCGUAAAGCGCACGUAGGCGGAUAUUUAAGUUAGGGGUGAAAUCCCAGAGCUCAACUCUGGAACUGCCUCUAAUACUGGGUAUCUAGAGUUCGAGAGAGGUGAGUGGAAUUCCGAGUGUAGAGGUGAAAUUCGUAGA